UUCGCCGAAGACCCCCAUGCCAGCUGCUUAAAAAUCCCAGGCUGGCAGCACCGAGUCCCAGUUGCACGUUAUAUUUUGAAGAGUGGAGGUGAGGCCCCCCUUCUUCCCCGGCUGGGGCCUAGUGCACAGCAGGUGUGAGUGAGUCCUUCGGAUCACCGCGCAACAUAGGCAUGGGAUGCAGAGGACACUGGCUGAGUAAAGGAAGCAGUGCACAGCUGACAGCUUUGGAGAAGUCACGACUGAAGGCUGCCUGAAGAGGCUAUCGAGUGACCCAUUAAGGGGGACAGCCUCAGAAAUCCAGGCAACUGGCAGCAGGUCAACAUAGCCUGUUAGCAUAAGCUGAUGGUCACUAAGCAUCAGCAUCUGUCAACGCACACGCCACCACUUCCAAGAACUCUGACUUUCUUGUGACAUGUAUGUACUCUCUCUCUCUCUCACACUCACUCACACACACACACACACACUCAGGCAAGCACCCACAGACAGGCAUAUGCACAGAUACGCUCGUAUUUACCAGUUAAUGGACACGAUCUUUAGCUCGUCAAAUUGCCCCAGACUAACUGGAUUCUGUGGUCUUUUGUUUGCACUUCUAUAACCUGUCCCUCAGUGUUGCAGAGGGGUAUUUACAGGCAGAUAAACAGUGAACCUGGACACAUGGGAUUGGUUGGGAGCAUGGGGGCUGGUGCUGGAGAAGGACCAGGACUCUUGGUACCAUUGGACAGCCCUAGUUCGUUGGAGUUAGCUGUAGAACUGACACCUGGUUUGCACUUUGCUCAGCUCCGUGGAGACAGCUUCUUUCCUAUGGACUCCAAGCCAGGAUCCACAGGUUGGAUAUAGGACAUAGAGGAGGCGCUGCCAGCACACCGGAUGGAAGGAACUCCAGCCUAGGGAGCUGCCAUCUGCUUCUUGUCAGGUUGUUGUGAGCGUCUGUUCCUGGCUGCCUGCUGACGGAGGUUGCUGGAUCCCAGCAUGAGAACGUUGUUAUGAUAGAUGGUGUGUUUACCGCUUUUCAUCCCUGCUCAGGAUUGCACAGGAUGUUAGUGCUUUUCUGGGUCUGGUCUCUCGCCCUCCCCCACUGUCCUUUUGCUCUCUCCACCCACCUCUUUCCCCCUCCCUACCUCCCGCCUCCAGUGCUCUCUGUUGCUACCAUCUAUGGUUCUGAUCUAUGCACGCAGGCCUCAUGGGAUUCCUUCCUGAAACACCUCUGCCCGUGGGGUUGGCCUCUCCUCCAUGCGAGUCAGGCCGCACAAGUCAGCUCCAGGGGGGACAGAUGGGAUCAGCGUUGGCUCCUAAGCAGGUGUUGGCCAGCUGUGCAGCCUCUGUCAUGAUCAAGAUGCGCUGUUGCUUCAUUCAAGGAUGAGGAUCAGAGAGGCUGGUUUAACUUCCAUUAACUCUUUGAUGCCUGAGCCUUUCCCAGCUGGCACGUGUCCAGGGAUGGGGAACGUGCGGGGAAGGGGGUUGAAUUUGCUGACAUGGGAGACCCAAUGCCCUGGCCCUACCAGUAGCCAGAGGCAUUCUCCCUGCUGCUGACUUUGCAGAUAUCUCACUGUGAGUUCUGGCUGGAAGAGCCCAGUAGCCCAGGGAUACCAUACAGACAUCAAUAGUGCCCCAGUAACACCUCCCCUGAGCUCUUGGCAACUCUGCCCAGGGAAGAGCUCCAGCAACACCCCUCAAUCCAUCCCCACAUCUGCUGCAAAUCCCGGGGCCCAGAAAUCCACCUCUGUCGGCUCUCCUGCUUGGUCCGAUGGGCGCAGUCUCCUCCCAGUGGCCCCCAGCAGCAGGGACGGUCCAGCUGGCAUGCUGGGCGGGCCCUCGCCUCCAACCCAUGCAGCCCCCGCUGCACGCAGCACUUUGGGAAAUGCAAUGCAAACAGUUUAUGCUGGGAUCAGCUCUCCUCAUAAACACACUGAGAUGCUUCCAGUUGCCUGAACAGCCCCCAGGCAGGGCUCAGGGCCUGUCCUGCUCUUUGUCCACAGCAGAAGGGCUGAUUAAUGGGCUUCCUUCCGGAGGAAACCGCAGUCCUGCCCACUCCCACUCCCUGUCCCCACAGCAGGACUCCCAGGGCCACCCAGUCGUCUGCAGCCAUGUUUAGUGCAGG